UGCGCCGCCGCGUUCCCCCCCGGAAGCGACCCACGGCGGCAGAUCCAACGUCUGGCUCUCCAGGAGAUCGUCCCCGGGGUUCUGUGGUCACCUGUGCAAAACCUUCCCCAUCUGCCCCUGACUGGAGUAGUUCAAAUGCAGACAAUCAUAUUGGUCAGGGAUCAGCCUUGACUUCAGGAAAAGGAAUUGCAACUAGUGAAGGACAAGAUCAUCUGUGACCUGGAAGGGAGGAAAGGCUCCAACAGAAUGGCUUUUGCCUUGAGACAGAGAAAUGAAGGGUUGGGCUCUGAUCAGAGAUGUUUGGCAGAGAUGAUGGUCAGUCCUUCCUCCUGAGAGAGCCUCACUUGCUCUCCCAGCUCCGAGACCUGCGCCUAUGAGAAAACAAGCUGUGCAAACCCUAACUGUGUCAACAAUAGAAGCCCGUCCAGCUGUCGUUGAUCUGCACAGCCAGAGAACUUCCUCCCUGAGGACACUGCUGUCAGAGCUGUGAGAUCAGAGCAGGAGGGUCAGGCCUGGCCUGAGCAGCCAGAUGGGUCCCCCAGCCCCCUGCAACCUCCCCCACAGCGUUGCCCUGGUUUGACCCAAUGGCUGCAUGUCCCCCAAAGUACAGCAGGACCCAGGGAAAGGGUGUGUGGAGCAGCUGUGCAGCAAUGAGGGACAGAGCUGCUUUGGGGAAGGCAGGAGGAUGAUUGCUUCCUCCAGCUCCCAUGGACCUCUGAGCAAAGGGGGCGAUUUCCAGCCCCUCUGAGGGAUUUAUAUUGUGGGACCUGAUAUAUGCUGGAGCCAUUUUGAGAGCAAGAGGUAUCCACCUGGAACCACAAACCCACCCAAAAUUGCAUUGGGGAGGUGUCAAACAGGAGACAAGGGAGAUUCAGGAACGAGCCAUGUGGGUGGGAAGGUUUUCACCCAGCACAGACUCUGCAGGUGGGAACGUGGACAGGGGCACCGGGCUGAGCUGGGUUGCUACCCCUCUGACCAAAACCGUCUGUGCCCCAGGGUGCAGGUGCCAGUGUGAUGGCCCAGGACAUCUGCAGCUCCCCAGGGGAUGGUGAGUACCGGGAUAGGUCCAUAAAUGGAGCUGUGGGUGACUGGAAUUGGGAAGAAAUAGGGGCUUUGUGUAGAUGGCAAAAUUGGGUGAACAAUUUGUCCUGCAUUUUGAGGGCCUUGCCUUGGCAUAGCUAAAGCACAAACAACAAAAGAAGCUGCGUAGCUAACAUGGCUACAGGCUCUGAAGUUAGAACUUCAGAGAAGGCUCCCUGCCAAGGUCAAGGAGGAGUCUUAGAAAGCUAAACAAGUUUUUUCGUCUCUUAUGGACACCUGCGAUGCUCCAAUUAACACCGGACAACAAAGUAUGUUUCUCUUAUGUAUCCAAUGCUGUGUGAAGAAGAAUCACACGUCCAGGUGUAGCAACAGUAUAUAAUAAACGUUCUUCUUCUAAUAAACGGACAUUUUGCCGACCAUAUUGGCCUGUGAGCAGUCUGUUCCGAGCCCCUCCACCAGUAGCUUUGUUCUUUGGGGUUGGUUUGUUUGGUUUUGGUUUGUGACUGUGAACCCCUGAAGAGGAAACUCUUCCCCACCCAGAUCUGAGACAUUUUGCAGCCCUGAAAAAAGUAGAAUUGUACCAGGCCAUCCCUGUGCCAUCUCUCCAGGUGACCUCCCAGCUCCUGCCCUCCAAGAUCACCUCCAAGACUCAGCAGGGAGAGUUCAUCUUUUGUAAGGAGUGGGUGUAGGGAACCGAGAUUAUAUGACCCUGGGAGAAACAUAGAAGGGGAACUUGGCAAGAUGAAUGCGGAUGUGGUGAGAUGUAUCCUUGUGUGUGGGAAAUUAAUUGAGAGUAAUUUUCUCCUAGACAGUGAAUGCUUAACUAAAAAGUAGAUAUAGAGAAAAGUUACUAAAAAGAAUUUACUGCUGAUGUAACGGUAUAUAAACCGUGAAAGAACUGUAAUAAAUGAUUCAAUUAUACCACA